UAGGGAAUCUUCCGCAAUGGACGAAAGUCUGACCGAGCAAUGCCGCGUGAGUGAUGAAGGUUUUCGGAUCGUAAAGCUCUGUUGUUAGGGAAGAACAAGUACCGUUCGAAUUGGGCGGUACCUUGACGGUACCUAACCAGAAAGCCACAGCUAAUUC
rnacentral:rRNA from 1 species